UACGUAGGGAGCAAGCGUUGUCCGGAAUCAUUGGGCGUAAAGCGCGCGUAGGUGGCUUCGUAAGUCCGCUGUGAAAGUCAAAGGCUCAACCUUUGAAAGCCGGUGGAUACUGCGGAGCUAGAGUCCGGAAGAGGCGAGUGGAAUUCCUGGUGUAGCGGGUGGAAUGCGCAGAUAUCAGGAGGAACACCGAGCGGAAGGCAGCUCGCUGGGACGGUACUGACGCUGAGACGACGAAGCGUGGGGAGCGAACAGG
rnacentral:rRNA from 1 species